GUGCCACUUCGGCAGCACAUACACUAAAACAGGAACAAUACAGAGAAGAUUAGCAUGGCCCCUACACAAGGAUGACACUCAAACUUGUGAAGUUUCUACACUUUUC
ensembl:snRNA U6 U6 spliceosomal RNA